rnacentral:rRNA from 1 species
UACGUAGGUGGCAAGCGUUGUCCGGAUUUACUGGGCGUAAAGAGCGCGCAGGCGGUCGUUCAAGUCGCGUGUGAAAGCCCCCGGCUCAACUGGGGAGGGUCACGCGAUACUGAUCGACUGGAAGGCAGGAGAGGGUAGUGGAAUUCCCGGUGUAGUGGUGAAAUGCGUAGAUAUCGGGAGGAACACCAGUGGCGAAGGCGACUACCUGGCCUGUUCUUGACGCUGAGGCGCGAAAGCUAGGGAGCGAACGGG